UUAAAACACAUUUUAACUCAUAGUUCAAAGCAUAAACAUCCAAGUCAAAUAAUGGAAUAAAAUUUAAAUAAUUACAUUAAAACAACUUAAAUUUUCAAAUCAAAUUUUACAAAUACCACAAUCAAAUUAGGUCCUUAUGUAUAUGCCAAAAUCCUUAUACAAUAGCACUAAUAUAAAUAUGUUACAACCUCAAGUGAAUUGUGAUAUGAAGCUCCCAAGCUUGGACCUUAUGCUUUUAACGCGUAUGUUACCUACAUGUUUUAAACCAUUAACGCGUGAGCUUUAAAAAGCUUAGUAAGUACUCAAGGAUAAGUUUACUUAUCCUAUCCUAAUAUAAAUGUUUAGUCUCUUAUCAAGAACUAUUCAAGAUUCAUUUCCAUUAUACUAUGCCAUUUUCUAACUAAUUCAAAUUUGAUUCUCGAAUUAUGGAACUCAACAUACCGGUCAAUGGUUCUUUAACAAUUCACAAUAGAAAUUCAUGUUCAAGAUCAUCAUCAAGGUUACCGAUAUUGUCCAUUCUAAGUACAUAGCCCUUUUCACUUAACUGUCUAACUUAUUCACAUGUGAGUUCCACUUAUGGCUAUGAGAAGUGGGAAAACACACAUGCGAAUAAUUUAGAAAGUUAAGUUUAUAAAAAAGAAAAUUUAUAAGUCCAAAAACCAAAUAAAUUUAGGAAAAAUGUAAGCAUAAUAAUUUAUAAGUCCUAAGUCCGUCGUAUGUCAGCAUGCCAUGAUGGAUCCUAGUCUCAAGCAUUACUUGAGAUGGUUGAAACUAUGGGGUGAGCUAACUAGCUCAAUGUGAGUCUAAGCAAUAAGAACAUUUAAAUAUUCAUCCAAAUAUCAUUCAUCAUUAAUAACAUUGUAACACAAACAUAGCAUAAACAUUACAAUUCGAAAGUGUCAUGGACAAAACAUAAUGCAUAAUGAUUUCCUACCCCAACCAUCCGCUACAUACCACAAGUUCCUUAGAAUUCGUCUGCCAAACUCCAUACAUUGCGAGCUGAGCUCGAUGUGGUUAAACCACCAUUAUAUGUAAUGAAGAUAUACUGCCAUUCAAAAUAAAUGUGAUAUAAUCGUUGUUCUCCUCAUUACUCCCAGUGCAAUGCAUUGACAACAUAUAUGCGGGCUUAAUAUGCCUCCAUUACUCCACGGAACUCCUCCAUCAUCCACAUAAUCCCAUCCCAUGCACACAUAAUAUAUCAUACAAAUUUCAAUCAAAAUCAUGUUUCCAUUACAUUCCCAUUUCAAUAGCAUGUUUUACAUGCUCUAAUAACAACAUUCACUGUCAUUCGAUAAUAACAUUUAUCAAUCAUUCAGUUUCACCAUCAAUACAGUGACAUUCCAACAUGCCAUAAUUUCAUUAUCAUUCAUAAGAAAUUUUCCAGUGCAUGUCUAGCAGUCUUUCAUAUAUUUCACAACAUUUUACCCAAACAUACAUUUCAUUUUCAUUCUAAUACGUGUUACUCAUACAACUAGCAUACAUUAUAUCACAAAAAAAUUCAUAGUAAUUCAUAUCAAUACCAGACAUUCAAACAUUCAAUCACUCAUGCAACAUUGGAAACAUGCCAUUUAUCUAGGGUUCGAAACGUACCUGAUUCAGCCACCUUAAAAUCACUUACUUAGCCAUUUAACUAAGUUCAACCAACAAGCUUAAUCAUCAUUUUAAGUACUAAAAAUAUUAUUUAACAUUUAAAUUUUAUAGUUUAGAACCCACACCUUAUUUUCGUACAACUGUAGCACUACUUGCAAAACCUGUGAUUCCUCCUUUAGACUUAAACUGAACCUAAACUAAAAUACAAUAUUUAUCAAGUUAAAAUGCUGCCAAACCAGCCCUAAAACAACCUCUUAAAGGUUCAAUCAAAUCAGCAUUACCAUAAUAAUUUUUUGAUCCAAAUCGACUAGGCUACUUACACUGAUUUGAUGCGAAACAUAUGUGCAAAAGAGAUAUGUAGUCACUGAUGAUCCGAGACAUUUAAAUCAACACCUAAACAUAAUUAAUCCCCAAAAAUUAGUAGCCAAAAACCCCCAUUCAGACUUUAAAGCAAUCGACCAAAGAAGAAAUUAGUAACAAAGAGAAACAGUGCAAGAUCUCGCACAAGUUUACACAUUGGACUACCCAUUACCCUGAUCUUAGUUGUUGGAUGAAUAUAUUAGUCAAUUACUCAAUUAGGAAUGUUUAAGUCAGAUCAAAAUAGAGGGAAAAUCCAAAAAUUUAAAAUAGUAAGGGAAAAAAUUGAAGAGAAACAACAAUCCCAAAACAAUGGUGCUCUAAGGGGGUGGCAACACCAUUUGAGGCGACAAAAAAGGCAGAUCUGGGGUGGCACAAGGAGGGAUCUUUGGACAACCAAAAAGAAAAAUUUUAAGGGCUGAAAUGAUGACUUAUUGGAUAUAAUAGUAGCCAAAAAUCAGCACACAAAGCAUAAGAACAGAGAAAGAAAAAUAGGAUUUACCAGCCUUGAUACGAACAAGGGAGACGGGGUGGCAAUGGACAGUAAAUGAGGCUGUUAGGAGCCAAAAAAAGGGAAUUUUAGGGAAGAAAAUAAGGAUGGUUUAGGAGGUCUAGACGUUCAAUAGGGUGGCUGGAUAAAAAAAAACUCUAACAAUGGGGCGACACAACUGUGACGAAAUUCAAAAGAAAGAAAGAAAUUUUAAGAGAAAAAUAAGAGAGGAGAGGAGAACAGUUAGGGUAGGCGAAAAAUAGACUUAAGGCUGAAAAAUAAGUGAAAAAAUGAUAUUUGUACCUAAGUUAAGAGGCAUGGGCGGCACAAAAAUAAGGGGAAGGAGAAAAAUUAGCAAAAUUAAGCUAUUUUUCAAGGGAAGGUUGUUGAAUUCGAG
rnacentral:lncRNA from 1 species